GUGGAUUUGGUGUUGUUAGUUAGUGAAAAGAAUUUUUUUAUAAAAAAAGAUGGUGUCAAGAUCCUAUUCCAAUCUCUUGGAGCUGGCCUCAGGUGAGGCUCCUUCGCCGUCUUUCGGGCGAAUGAGCCGGAGGAUUCCACGUGUUAUGACCGUCGCUGGGAUAAUGUCUGAUCUGGAUGAUGAUGGAUCGGAGAGCGUUUGCUCCGAUCCAUCAUCAUCUUCAGCUCAAAAAGAUAGGAUAAUUGUUGUAGCUAAUCAGCUGCCAAUUAGAGUACAAAGAAAAACUGAUGGCAGUAAAGGAUGGUUAUUCAGCUGGGAUGA
rnacentral:misc_RNA from 1 species